rnacentral:rRNA from 1 species
UACGAAGGGGGCUAGCGUUGCUCGGAAUUACUGGGCGUAAAGCGCACGUAGGCGGCUUCUUAAGUCGGUGGUGAAAUCCUGGAGCUCAACUCCAGAACUGCCUUCGAUACUGGGAGCUCGAGUCCGGGAGAGGUGAGUGGAACUGCGAGUGUAGAGGUGAAAUUCGUAGAUAUUCGCAAGAACACCAGUGGCGAAGGCGGCUCACUGGCCCGGUACUGACGCUGAGGAGCGAAAGCGUGGGGAGCAAAC